AAAAAAAUUUUUCAAAUAGUAAUUUUGAUAAUCUGAAGACACAGUUUUGAGGAUAGGUUUUUUGAUUAAUAAAUUACUUAUUAAAAUUAAAUGACAAAUCAAAAUUUUAGCCAUCUCACAUUAAAAUACUUUGGUAUCUAAGUCACAGAAAGAAUAUCAAUUAGUUUUUCUACAUUGUCUCCGACACAAAAACUGAUUGCAUUUUGCUUUAUUUUGGCUGACUGUGCUUUGAAUCACAGAAUGUUCACUUCUAAAGAAUCUUAUUGCUGCUAUGACAGCACAUGAAAGCAUCAUGCAUUCUCUGCUAGCUCCAGAGGGAGCAAGGGUCCUUUUUAGAGUUAGAGUUCAAGGGCAAACCCCCUGUCUUAUAUCCCAAAGUAAUUUGUCUACAGUCACAUUCUCAGGUUUUUUCAGACACUCUUGGCCCACUCCACCCUGACUCCUGGUCUACUAACUCCUUGCCUCCUGCUUUUCUUUAAUUGACCUCUACAUUUGGUUUUGGACUUUUUAUUUUUUUAUGCAAAUAUAUUUAGCCAGGUUUCUUUUGAAUCCAUAUUUUGUUAAUCCUUAGCUCUGUUUUCCUCUGCUUGAGAACUCAGGAGAUUUUUGUGGAUAACAUUUGAGAAAUUACCCUUUAAAUAGCUAUAACAUUAACAUAUAGAAAUGCGAUACUAAUCCAGCUACAGACCUCUCACACAGUAGAAACACGGUAGAAAGCUUUUGACAGUAAUAUGCACUCUUUUACUGCUUGUUUUGCACACACAAAAAUCUUACACAAAUGUCAGCAUUGUUGUAUUAUUCCACAAUUUAUUGUUUAAGAGACAUUUACUAGUGACCUGCCUCGCUUACUGGUUCCAGUUUCCUAGUAAACAUUUCUGUAAGGGAAUGGUUUUUGUGCUUUCCUUUUCACUGAGAAAGAUGGUCUUGACAGGAGAUGAGUCACCUUUCACAGUACCCUGACAACAAGGUGUUCUUUUAAUAGAAAAACAGCAGGAGAUUCAGCCUAAAUUGGAUCACUGGCAGGAUAGGAGCAAGAUCACUGAAUUAGCAGGCUAUACUGCUCGAGUGUACAAUAUGUUUUGGGUCUUUGAUGAAGUGAAAAGAGGCAUUUAUAAGAGAACUGCUGCAUGCAAGAGUCUGAAAACCAUAGCAAGAAUGGAGCUAACAUAGAAUUAUCCCUCAGUGAUACGUUGGAAAUCAAAGGAGAAGUUAUUGAUGUGGAUCAUGGAAUUAUUUGCGAAAAUGUUCCCAUACAUACACCAACGGGAGAAGUGGUGGCUUCCAGGCUAAACUUCAAAUGACAGUGGAUUCUAACAUCACGUAGCUUUCCAGAGGUACGUUGUAAUACAUUUCGAAUUCUGUGUAGAUUACGUCGUGUUCACCGCCCAAAAACUAAUUAUAGUCCGUCACCUCACAUGUGAGCCUCAUCGCCCCUUUGGCUCUCUCCCC